ensembl:lncRNA
GCCCGCUAACCCCUUCAGCCCCGCCGCUGCUGGUUUCCCGGACUACUGGGAAGCCUCACGUUUAACUGCCCUUAGGGUUGCUCCGCUCAAGCUGCCUAAUCUUACAGAAGAGAAAACCGAGCCUCGAAGAAUUGAGUUGCUAGAGCCCAACGCAUUCACCUGGCUUCUCCAUUCUCUCCAGUGGGAUCAAACGCAGGACCUUGCGCUUGCCAGGCAGGCAGCGAAACCACUGAGCUAGAUCCCCAGCUGGAUAAAGAAUUCUUUCUUUCCACAUUGAAAAGGCCUGGCUACUUUUAUAUGAUUGAAGUAUGCCCUUCAUUCUAUUAAAGAGAAGAGAACUGGGUGCCCUGUUCUUGGAGCCUCUUUGAACCAACACAUAAGGUCAGUUUGACAUCACACACUAAUGUUCUGCUUGAUCAAGUCUGACCACUUUUUCUCACAGUUAAUAGGGUUGCUCUUUUCCUGCUCUGUGACUUCUUGCUGGCCUUGAACUGCUAUGGCAGCAGUAACCGGUGGAAACACGGGCCAAGUGUGUGGCUGAGC